rnacentral:rRNA from 1 species
AGAGUUGAUCCUGGCUCAGGAUGAACGCUGGCGGCGUGCCUAACACAUGCAAGUCGAACGGACCCAUGGAGAUGAUUAGCUUGCUAUGAAUUCCGGAAGGUUAGUGGCGGACGGGUGAGUAACGCGUGGGCAACCUGCCCUGUACUGGGGGAUAGCAGCCGGAAACGGCUGGUAAUACCGCAUAAGCGCACAGUACCGCAUGGUACAGUGUGAAAAGCUCCGACGGUGCAGGAUGGGCCCGCGUCCGAUUAGCCAGUUGGCGGGUAACGGCCCACCAAAGCGACGAUCGGUAGCCGGCCUGAGAGGGCGGACGGCCACAUUGGGACUGAGACACGGCCCAGACUCCUACGGGAGGCAGCAGUGGGGGAUAUUGCACAAUGGGGGAAACCCUGAUGCAAGCGACGCCGCGUGGGUGAAGAAGUAUUUCGGUAUGUAAAGCCCUAUCAGCAGGGACGAUAAUGACGGUACCUGAGUAAGAAGCCCCAGCUAACUACGUGCCAGCAGCAGC